rnacentral:rRNA from 1 species
CAAUAGCGUAUAUUAAAGUUGUUGCAGUUAAAAAGCUCGUAGUUGGAUUUCUGGUGGGAGCGAUCGGUCUGGCGCUUAGCGCGAGUACUUGCAUCGUCUCCGGCCAUCCUUGGGGAGAGUCUGUCUGGCAUUAAGUUGUCGGGCAGAGGAUCCUCAUCGUUUACUGUGAAAAAAUUAGAGUGUUCAAAGCAGGCUUAUGCCGUUGAAUAUAUUAGCAUGGAAUAAUAAGAUAGGACUUUGGUACUAUUUUGUUGGUUUGCGCACCAAAGUAAUGAUUAAUAGGGACAGUUGGGGGUAUUCGUAUUCCGUUGUCAGAGGUGAAAUUCUUGGAUUUACGGAAGACGAACUACUGCGAAAGCAUUUACCAAGGAUGUUUUCAUUAAU